rnacentral:rRNA from 1 species
UACAGAGGUCCCAAGCGUUAUUCGGAUUCACUGGGCGUAAAGGGUGCGCAGGCGGUUGGGUGUGUCAGAUGUGAAAUCCCGAGGCUUAACCUCGGAACUGCGUCUGAAACUACUCGACUAGAGUAUUGGAGAGGGUAACGGAAUUCACGGUGUAGCAGUGAAAUGCGUAGAUAUCGUGAGGAACACCAGAGGCGAAGGCGGUUACCUGGACAAUUACUGACGCUCAGGCACGAAAGCAUGGGGAGCAAAAGGG